rnacentral:lncRNA from 1 species
GAUCUGAGCGGUUCCGUUGCCCAGAGGUUCUUUACCAGCCAUCUAUGAUUGGUAUGGAGAAUGCUGGAAUCCAUGAAACCACAUACAACUCCAUAAUGAAAUGUGAUGUGGACAUUUGAAAGGACUUGUAUGGUAACAUUGUGCUAAGUGGUGGGACGACUAUGUUUCCCGGGAUUGCUGAUAGAAUGAGCAAAGAGAUCACUGCUUUGGCACCGAGCAGCAUGAAGAUCAAAGUCGUUGCACCGCCUGAGAGGAAAUACUCUGUCUGGAUUGGAGGAUCUAUCUUGGCAUCUCUCAGGCCCAUCGAUUGUCCACCGUAAAUGCUUUUGAGUUUGAAGUUAAGUCUGCUUCUGGAGAAGCCCUUGUGGUUUUCCAGUUUAUCUUCUUUCUCUGCUGUUCUUCAUUGUUUUCAGAUUCUGGCCUAAGACAUUUUAAAAAACUUGCAGUAUCUCUUUGUAGUAUUGUUAAUAAGAUACUCUUGUUGCUUUUUUUUUGUUGGAUAGCACAGCUGUGUGAGUGAAUAAGAACACAUAGUUUUCCGAAUCUUUCAGGAUAGUACUCCGAAUUGAAUAGUAUCAUCAGCUUAAUCAGUACAUGGACGUAGACUGUGUACUCGCAUCAUUAAGCAUUCAAAUAGUCUAAGGAGCCAAACCCUUAAGUCGUCUCCUACAUAAUUUACGUAGUAUCAGAAUACAACAAGCAGUUUAUGUCCUUGAGUUUAAAAGGGAAGGGCGUGUGAGCGCACAAACUAUAUGUUAACAUAUGAUACAUAUUAUUCCCUAUGAUGGUUUCAUGUGAUCAUGUUAUUUGAUGAUCAAACCAACCUAUCACCACGUUAUCAUAGCUGCUGCGAAACUUGAAGCCUAUUUCUGAAGAAGCUAAACAAGAUUCUCCGACCAGAACUGUGGGAUAUUUACAAUGGAAGAGUUGGGCGUUGCUGGACAAACAUUUAACAAGACUCUUGUCGUUGCCUAGAGGUAAACAGAGUGGGUAAGAAGCUAGCACUUUUCGGACCAGAAUGACAAACUUAAAUUCUUGUGUUCAGAAUCACUACCUCGUAGAAGGAAAAUAAAUUUAGGGGUUGUAAAAAACCGAACGUUUCAGGUAGGGCUGGGCAAAUAAACCGAACCCGAAAAUUUAAACCGAACCCGAUCCGAUAAAAAUGAAUCCGAACCGAUCCGAACCCGACAUAAAUACCGAAUGGAUCCUGUUUUUUGGUAUUUUGGAUUAUGGGUAUUAUCCGAACCGAACCCGGACCUAAAUGGAUAUCCGAUAGAACCCGAAACAUUUAAAAUCACAAAAAGAAUUUCUACCAAAUAUGAUCUUAAUUCUUAAUAUGUAUCCAAAAUACUUUAAGAUAUUAUUGAACUUCUAAAAUAAUUAUCAUUUACAUGAAGGUUGAUGGUGGAAUGUGGCGGUUGAUGCCUCAAGUUUUUAGAUUUUGGUUUUGUUUUUAUUGAAUAAUAUUUCUCAUUUUAUGAGAACUUAUUUUUUGCUUUAUGAUUUUAUUUAUCUGGUUUUUUUUCUAUCACUAACUAUGUUUAUCUUUCGCUUGAUUUUGAAUGAUCACGUUUGAUGUUUUUUCUUAUUUUUGAAUCGAUUUCACUUAUGUUUUGGCUAUUAAAAUAUGUACAAAUCAUGUAUUUUAAAUCCGAAGAACCAAUUUCAUUUAUGUUUUAGUUACAAAAUAUGUACAAAUCAGGUAUUUUUAAACCGAAGAACCGAUUGGGACCCGAACCCGAAAGUACAAUGGGUUAUACCGGUUCUUUGAAGAUUUACUAACCCCGACCCGAACCCGAUAGAACCCGAACCGGUCCCGAACCGAACUUUUAUAUAACCCGAAUGGGGUUGAUUUUGAUAAACCCGAAAAACCGAAACCCGAAUGGAUAAAACCGAAACCCGAUUGGGACCCCGAAUGCCCAUGCCUAGUUUCAGGAAUUGUUAUUUGCCGUAUUCACUUGAUUUAUGCGACAUUAAUAAACAUAUAUAUAAUAGAAUAUCAAAGCCGACUUAGCUCAGUGGUAGAGCGCGUGACUUUUAAUCCCGUGGCCGUGGGUUCGAUCCCCACAGUCGGCGACAACUUUUUGUUUUCCUUUUCAAUCUCAAAAAAUAUAGAACACAGUACACACAUGGCUGACAAGACCAACUUGAGUUAACCAAUCAUCAGAUCCUCAAUACUAACACAUUUUGUUUUCUCUUCUGUGAAAGAAAUGCUUAUAUGUUUGACGAAAGGUGCACAUACAGGAUGUUUGAUGUAUGUGUCACUGUUUUGGUUAAUCCUUCCAGGUCUUCAUGUUUUUUUUAACAGGGACAGAGCUUUGACUCUUCAUAGAGUUUAAUUUGUCAAUCCUUCCCUGCUCAAUUUAUAUCAAGUUGAUGAGUAUUGUAUCUAAGUUGCUGUAGGGUAAGUGAUAAAAGCUUUAAGUUCAAGAAACAUAUGAUUUGAACCAAACGUUAUACAUCAUCAAAAGCUACAAGAUGUUGUUCUCAACAUUUCAAGAAAACUAAACAGAGGCUAAGAUCCAAAAUGUGACAUGAGAAGAAACAGCAAUCUGAAACCAAGAGACGAAAGCCAACGCUACAGCUACUUGAUACCUAAGACAUGAAAACUGCUCACGGAUAUUGCAAUACUUAAGAUCUCUGGCAAAUAAGACUACAACUCCUGCUGAUGAACACGCAGCUGCAAGAGAUAACAUUGCAGUCACCUGCAAUUUAAAAAAAAACAAAAACGUUACAGCAAAGUUUAUCAUUACAGAACACUGAACAAGGAAAGAAUCAUUACAUACCCAAUCACCAACGACGAAUAAGCUAACCAAGAUUGGGUUUUGGAGAUCUUUCUUGCCCCUCAGAGCAUAAACAUCAAGACAUGCGAGGCCAAAGCUCCACAGCAACUGAAGACCCAUCGAAGCAAUCAAGUAGCUGCAAACCAAACCCGAAAAUUGAAAUCCCGACAUCUAAGGCGAGGUUAAGACAGAACCAAAAUCAACAAACAAACCAUACCAGAAAGCAGUGCGGUUAUAGAACUCGGUGGAAGAGAGCAUAACGCCGAUUGAAGCAGCAGCAGAAGCACAUUGUCCGAUUCUAAGUAACAGACCAAACACAGUUCCUGGACCUCCGAAUAUCUUCUUCAUCUCCAAAUGUAAACACCCUAAACCCAGAAACUCCGAUUAAAGAGGAGUUUUAGCGGGGAGUGGCAAAUGCAGAUGAGAGCUCUCACUCUAUAGGAGUUUCCGAAAAUGAAUCUAGCUUCGAUUAUAAGCUUCUUUUGUCUUUCUCCUUUGACAUAUCCACUUUAGGUUCGUGAGCGAGUUGACUCAGAGGUAACGUCCGACGUGGCGUAGUUAAUAGUGUUAAUUAGUUUUUUUUUUUUUGGUAUUUCGAUUGAAUUAAUUAAACGUUAAUUACGCAAUCAAUCACUGAAAUACUUAGUUUGGAUUAUGUAACAUGUUCCUCUGGUAUGAUUAUCUUUAAUGAAUUGCCUGUUCUUUGCUAUCUUAGUAAGGUUCAUCACCAUCCCUUUUUGAGUAUGACAAUGACCCACUUUUCUUUUAUGUUUCUAAUUUUUUAUGUUAAUUAGCUUUGAGUUUGUGUGGUUGUGGAGUUAUUUGUUAUAGACUGUUCUCAAAUUAGUCUGAAUUGUGAAUUUCUCUCUUAGUUUUAUACCCCAACGGAUACAGUAAGUCUGCAGGUUCUGGAGCUUGGUAAGACACAUGAAGAGCUUUGGGAUUGGUGAGAUGUUGAAGUAAGCUUAACCAUUUCUCUCCUCUGAGUAUAGAGAAAACUAUUCUCUACUUGAUUGAUCGAUGCCAAUUUCAAGAUAGUUCAUUUAAAACUUAGUAAUUGUCUUUCAUAAACCAGAAAACUGAAAUACAAAGUUCUUCGAAACUAAAGAAAAAUUCAAAUCAAACAUCCCAAAAGUAAAAAGAGGUAGCAGCAAAGAUUCUCUCAAUCUCUUCUUAUCACUGCUGUUUGGUUUCGACCUUCUUCUUCUGCCAGAGCCUGUCGACGCCACUGUCUGCGUCUCCCUGCAAUUUAAAUCAAAACGUUAAUAGAAAACCACAAUAAUCACACACUUUGCUAUAUAAACAAUCGUGGAAGACUAAUUUAACAUUUGAAAUAAUGACAAAGUAGAUUAGACGAGAGUUAUGACAGACCUGAGCACGGACAAACCCGCAGAGAGCAAGGGUGGUGAACUGGCCAGUGUAGAUACCAUCGGCAUCAAGAUGACCAAUGUUAAGCUGAACAGAGGCGUGAUCCUUUGAUGUGAUCAAUCUGUUUGUGGCCGAGCUGCAUAUUUACAACCAAAGAAUCACCUAAAUUUAAAUCGAAACAGAAUAAUAACAAAGCCGAUAUACCAUUUCCUUGGAAUGUAUAGCUCAGUGACGACACCUUCUUCGUUUUGCAUGAUUCUUAGCUUUUUAAAAUCGAUCUGAUCCAUUAAGAAACAAUUUCUCAUGAGCAAAAUAAUAGAACAUCAUUUUUUUUUAAAGAGAAACCACAUCUUCUUCAGCAGAGGAACAUGUUAUCAAUGAAGUGAAUACUAAACUGAUAAACAUUCAACGAAAGUCUAGAGAUGACGCAAUUAGUAGUAGCAAAACGUAGGAUGAUAAAUGCAUAAACAGGAUCAAGAUCACUGCAAGGAGAUUAAAGAGACUAAGAUGUAUUUCUAACCUGAGAAGAAGAAGAAUGUGUGGAGAGAGAGCAGUCCGGCGGCGAGGGGAAACGAGACUACAAAAGCAAUUUAUAGUUGCGACUUCUUAGGGUUUGCUUAGAUCUAGUAUAGCGAACCGAGCCAAUUUGAGCCGGUAUGUAAAAAUGGUAUGAACCGAACCGAACAGGCUAAAGGGAAACUGGUUUAACCGAACUGAAUAAUACAAGAUAGCUUCGGUUUAUUAGUAAACCGGAUGAUCGUAAAAAUCGAAUUAAAUCGGUACAAAACCAGAAAAGUUAUGGUUUGGAUGAAUUAAAAAACAAACUGAGCUGCAUACAGAGUCUCUAUAGCCAAUUAUCAUGUAAUCAACUUACAUUAGAUUUUGAGUUCAUUUGUUACAGAACAUGGAACAUAUCAAUGAAAGAAACAAGUAUAUAAGAUUAUAUAAUGCUUGAUUCCCCUUGGCGAAUAUUUCAGAUUUUAAACAAUAUUUUUCAAAAUUUAGUUUUGUAGACAGAAGAAGUUGUUUCACUAGCAAGCGACAAACAAUGAUAACUAACACAUACAAAUCUCGACGAAGCAAAACUGGUGUGUACAAAGUCUCUUCUUUGUUUCGUUACAAUGAGGAACUCAUAAUUUUCCAUGUUGAUCCUCUUCUCAUAGACCUCUAGACAAACCUGAUAUUGCAUACACAUCAAUAAACAAAGGUAGGUAAGAAACCACAGAAAAUAAUAUCAAUUCAAUGUGAACUUGAAUUUAAAUUUUAAACAGAACUCACACAAGAAUCACUUCAUCAAAAUCUUAACCAAAACUUGUUUUUAUGUGCCGAAACUGCGGUCUCCAGCAUCUCCAAGUCCAGGGAUGAUAAACCUGAUACACGUAUUAACGACAUUGUAUUAUUUGCUAGUUUGCUUCGAGAAAUCAAGAAUCCAGUGAAAGCAGGCCUGACGACUUACCCCUUAUCAUUGACUUCAGGAUCGAUGAUUCCAGCAUACACAUGAAGCCUUGAAUAUUGCAAACAAUUCAAUAAUCUAUCCAAAUGAUUAAAAAAAAGGUUAAAAGAGUAAAUAUUUCGGUAUUGAUACCCGGGGUACUUCUCAUUAAGCUUCGAUAGUGCAGGAGGUGCAGCAACCGCACAAAUCUGUAAUCAGGGAGACACCAGAUAAAGCUUUAUAUCUAAAGGAUAAAUGUUCUUCUAUAUCCAACGUUUCAGAAAACAACUAUAUGCACGCUUACUUACCACUUUGAUUUGCUGAACAGACAAACCACGUUCCUUCAACAUAUCCAUCGCAGCAAUUAUCGUACCGCCUGAAAUACAAACAAACUCAUGUUUUGAAGCUGUAGAAAACAUUAUGUAUUACCAUGUUAUGCAUUCACAUUCCUAUGUAUCGCUUAACAUUUGAGACACACUUCAAAACACUUAACAACAAUUGUUCUACUGUGGUGGUGCCUGAAAUGACAAGACUUCUUUACCUGUAGCAAGCAUUGGGUCCACCAAGAAUACUCUGGAAUUCUUGGGAAAUACGUCAGGCAGCCUGAAGAACAUGUAACAGAGCUGUCAUCAUAAACGCUUCAGUACUAGCUACAUAAUGAUGUGGGGAAGUUCAUACUUGUUAAGAUACACAGAAGGUAGAAGUGUUUUCUCGUCCCGACUUAUUCCUAGUAAAAAGGAUAAACACAGAGACAUAAGAAGCUAUAUAUAUAUAUAUAUAACAAUCCUAUCUUCAGGCGCAAGAGAUAAUAUAGUAAGUAUAUAUUUACCUAAAUGAUAUAUUUUAUUUGCAGGCAAAACUGUUGAUGCAUGUUCCGCAAGAGCAAGACCAGCUCUUAAAAUCGGAACAACCUAAAGCCAGGAAUAAGAAUUGUCUUUAACGUUUUUGAUGGAGAAGAAAAUAUAGAGAACAUAAGUUUUAGGGGAGAGACAAACCGCUAUAGGCUCUCUAGGAUCAAUGAACUCAACAGAAGCAGCACCCAUCGGAGACAUGAUUUCUCCAACAACAGUUGGCUUUCAUCAUCAUCACAUAAUAGAAAAAUCAAGAAAAUACACACACGACACGGAGGGAAAAAUCAUAUACAAAUAAAAGAAGAGACGUAGUAAAACGUUUUAAACGCACCAGCCACUCUCGAGAUGCUUCAUACAUCAACAGUCUCCCUAGUUCACCUAUUGCAUUCCCUAUGAUCAUCAUAAGAACACAUGAAUUUUUUAUUUUAUCAUAAAAAUGAAAAAUCUUCUUUUUUCAAACGCAAUUUAGCUUUUUAUUUUAUUUUUUUUAUGAUAAAGAGAUUAUGGACCUGGACCCGUACAUGGUGCCCUUAGACACGAGGUCCAAACAACAUGUUAAAUUAACUGAUUAUUUUUGAAUGAUUAAGAGGUUAUAAGACACCAUAUCCAUGUUAAAUUAACUAUACUGUCGGAUUAACAGCUAAAGAUUGAAUCUGCACAAACACUCAAAUCAAAACCUUAUGCUACUCACUGAAAAUAGGACAAGGAGUUUGGUCGUUUCUCAGGACAGAGAUCCAGUGUUUGAUCAAAGGAUGAGGUGGCACGAACACCUGAAAUUAAAAAGAAAAAAAAAACAAAACUAAGAAUCAAUUCACUAUUGAUUAGUUCCGAUCUCAAAAUUUACCAGCAUCCUAUUGCUUCCGUUAAUGGAGCCUUCGGACGCCGCCAUUUUAGCUCUAACCGGAAUAUUCCGCCGUGAAAGAGAAGCACCCAAAGUCUGUAUGUAUGAAGAAUUCGAGAUGAGGAUCCAACUCGAGGAGGGAGUGAGGUUAUAUUAAAUAGUGGUGGGUUACCUGACCGAGGAAGGGGGAGGAAUUAAAGGAGAGGAGAGAGGAAGGGGUAGGGGUAGGGUUUACGCGGCCGCAUUGAUCUUGUCGGGGACCUAAACGCAGCGUUUCCGAGUAACAUCGGAAAGCGUUACUAAUUGAGUACGCCAUUUCCCGACGAUAUCCGAACUCUGGUCUAACUGAGAACGACGAUCCAGCGAUUCAAAUACAUAAUAAACCGGCCCUCACUAAACUGUACCGGAUUAUUUUGGGGACUUCAACUUACGAUUGGGCUACAUUUUUCGUUUUUUGGACAAUCCCAUUGGGCUUUGUUUAUUACACGCUUUAUACUAUGCGGAGGAUAUGGGACUAUGGAGCGGAGCUUAAGCAAGUGCUCAAUAUAUCAGCUUACUGUAAAAAAAAAAAAAAGACUACUACCAAAGAUUUAUCUGUUUCUUCUUCUCCAAAUCCUACAAAGCAGCUUACAUUAAAGCAUUUACGACUCUAUUAGUCUUACUGGGUAUCAUGGAUAAUAGCCUCAACAUACAACUGUAUUGAUAGAGAAAGAGAUUAACAAUCGCUGGUUUAGCACAUUUUGAUAUAUUUUAAGAGGAAAAACAAUUUAGAAAUGGGUGAUACUUUUUGAAACCACUAGCUGCAGACAGCACAACCCAAAAGCUUAUCAACUUAACGAAUUAAUUAAUUAGUUUAUAAACUAAUCAUGUAUAAGAAGUAUCAUUUCUAAUUCUUGCCCAUGUCCAAGAAGCAUCAAGAUGACGAAAGAUAGGAUCAUAUGAUCAUUAGAAAGGACAAGCAUGGAGAAAAAGAUGAGAAAAAGAGCACGUUAACCAAUAGGACUAAAUCAUUUUAUGAAGUGGCUGUGAAUUGGUAUUGGCUUGUAAAGGACAACGUCAUAAGUUAUACAAAUUAUAAAUUUCUACCAAAAAAAUGUUGAUAAUUUAUCUACCAAAAAGGUAGAAAAUAGAAUAUUUAGUUGAUUGUUUUUUUAAUCAUGAUGAUGCCUUUUGAGCAGUAAAGGAGAAGCUUGCUAGUUAAUCACUUGAUAUGUACGUUUACUAUAUUACAAAUUGUAAUCAUACACUCGUUUGAUCCUAUUUGAAAUGUUAUUUCGAUCGUCCAAAAAACUAAAAAACGUUAGUUUAUAUUGAUUAAUUGCUAUAUAAACUUGGUUUUUGAAGUUAAUCAAUUGUAUUCUACUAUUCUGAACGUAAAACGAAUUUCAACGAUAUAAACUUUAGGGAAAAAAAAAACAAGAUUCUAUUAUCUUUAGCUAUAUAGAAUGUGUCAAUGCCCCCACACAGUUUUUAGUUAUCGGAUCGUAGAAUCAUAAAUCAUCACUCAAUAUCAACGGCUGUGAUCAAUUACAACGUACAGCUUUUCCCCACUCAAUCUUCUUUAAGACAUGUCAGUGAAGCAAAACACUUCCAAGCUUAGCCGACAAAAAUGGCAGAACUAGUUCGUUAUUACACUCCAGGGAUCGUAGUUAUACUUAUUCUAUCAGUUCUUCUCUUCUCGAUCACACGUGCUGAUUUACCAGGCACGUGGGAGCUCAUCGUACAAGACGCCGGUAUAGCCUCUAUGCACACGGCGGUUACCCGGUUCAACACGGUGGUUCUUCUCGAUCGGACAAAUAUUGGUCCAUCCAAAAAAGCUCUUGGUCGGCACCGGUGCCGGAAAGACCCAAACGACGUCGUUCUGAAACGUGAUUGCUACGCUCAUUCGGUUCUAUUUGACCUUGGUACAAACCAGAUCCGACCACUGAUGAUCCAAACCGACACGUGGUGCUCUUCGGGUCAGUUUUUAUCUGACGGUUCUUUGCUUCAAACGGGUGGGGAUAGAGACGGGUUUAAAAAGAUCAGGAGAUUCGAACCGUGUGACCCAAACGAGACCUGCGAUUGGGUGGAGCUCCAAGACACCGAGUUAACAACCGGACGCUGGUACGCUAGUGACCAGAUAUUACCGGAUGGUUCGGUUAUCAUCGUCGGUGGGAGAGGAACCAAUACGGUUGAGUAUUACCCUCCUCGCGAGAACGGCGCCGUUCCGUUUCAGUUUCUUGCUGACGUGGAGGAUAAACAGAUGGAUAAUCUCUACCCUUACGUUCAUCUCCUCCCCGACGACGGCGGAAACCUCUUCAUCUUCGCCAACAGCCGCGCCGUCAAAUACGAUCACCGCCUAAACACCGUGGUGAAAGAGUAUCCGCCUCUAGACGGCGGCCCGAGGAAUUAUCCGUCGGGUGGAUCAUCAGCGAUGCUAGCGAUCCAAGGAGAUUUCGCCACGGCGGAGAUCCUAAUAUGCGGCGGAGCUCAAUCCGGCGCUUUCACAGCGCGUGCCGUUGACGCACCGGCGCACGGAACCUGCGGUCGAAUCGUCGCUACCGCGCCGGAUCCGGCUUGGGUGACGGAGGAGAUGCCGUUCGGGAGGAUCAUGGGAGAUAUGGUGAAUCUUCCGACGGGAGAGAUUCUGAUCAUAAACGGAGCUCAAGCCGGAAGCCAAGGAUUCGAAAUGGGAUCGGAUCCGUGUCUUUACCCGCUUCUAUACCGACCCGAUCAACCAAUUGGAUUGCGAUUCAUGACACUGAAUCCAGGAACCGUACCGAGAAUGUACCAUUCGACGGCGAAUCUGUUACCGGACGGUCGAAUCCUCCUCGCCGGAAGUAACCCUCACUACUUCUACAAAUUCAACGCCGAGUUUCCCACCGAGUUACGUAUCGAAGCGUUUUCUCCGGAGUAUCUUUCACAGGAUCGAGCCAAUCUCCGACCCGAGCUCCGAGAAAUUCCGCAGAUCGUAAGAUACGGCGAGGUCUUCGAUGUGUUCGUGACGGUGCCGUUGCCGGUUGUGGAGACGAUUCAGAUCUAUUGGGGAAGCGCGCCUUUUGCGACUCACUCGUUUUCUCAGGGUCAACGGCUCGUGAUGUUGACCGUUGGGCCAUCAAUACCUGACGGAGAAGGACGUUAUAGGAUUCAGUGCACGGCUCCACUAACCGGACGCUGGUACGCUAGUGACCAGAUAUUACCGGAUGGUUCGGUUAUCAUCGUCGGUGGGAGAGGAACCAAUACGGUUGAGUAUUACCCUCCUCGCGAGAACGGCGCCGUUCCGUUUCAGUUUCUUGCUGACGUGGAGGAUAAACAGAUGGAUAAUCUCUACCCUUACGUUCAUCUCCUCCCCGACGACGGCGGAAACCUCUUCAUCUUCGCCAACAGCCGCGCCGUCAAAUACGAUCACCGCCUAAACACCGUGGUGAAAGAGUAUCCGCCUCUAGACGGCGGCCCGAGGAAUUAUCCGUCGGGUGGAUCAUCAGCGAUGCUAGCGAUCCAAGGAGAUUUCGCCACGGCGGAGAUCCUAAUAUGCGGCGGAGCUCAAUCCGGCGCUUUCACAGCGCGUGCCGUUGACGCACCGGCGCACGGAACCUGCGGUCGAAUCGUCGCUACCGCGCCGGAUCCGGCUUGGGUGACGGAGGAGAUGCCGUUCGGGAGGAUCAUGGGAGAUAUGGUGAAUCUACCGACGGGAGAGAUUCUGAUCAUAAACGGAGCUCAAGCCGGAAGCCAAGGAUUCGAAAUGGGAUCGGAUCCGUGUCUUUACCCGCUUCUAUACCGACCCGAUCAACCAAUUGGAUUGCGAUUCAUGACACUGAAUCCAGGAACCGUACCGAGAAUGUACCAUUCGACGGCGAAUCUGUUACCGGACGGUCGAAUCCUCCUCGCCGGAAGUAACCCUCACUACUUCUACAAAUUCAACGCCGAGUUUCCCACCGAGUUACGUAUCGAAGCGUUUUCUCCGGAGUAUCUUUCACAGGAUCGAGCCAAUCUCCGACCCGAGCUCCGAGAAAUUCCGCAGAUCGUAAGAUACGGCGAGGUCUUCGAUGUGUUCGUGACGGUGCCGUUGCCGGUUGUGGAGACGAUUCAGAUCUAUUGGGGAAGCGCGCCUUUUGCGACUCACUCGUUUUCUCAGGGUCAACGGCUCGUGAUGUUGACCGUUGGGCCAUCAAUACCUGACGGAGAAGGACGUUAUAGGAUUCAGUGCACGGCUCCACUCAACGGCGCCGUCUCUCCGCCAGGUUAUUACAUGGCCUUCGCCGUUAACCAAGGCGUUCCUAGCGUCGCUCGGUGGAUGCG